ACGACGCUGGCGGCGUGCUUAACACAUGCAAGUCGAACGGAGAAUUUAUUUCGGUAAAUUCUUAGUGGCGAACGGGUGAGUAACGCGUGGGGCAACCUGCCCUUCAGAUGGGGACAACAUCCCGAAAGGGGUGCUAAUACCGAAUACGAUCACGCUGCCGCAUGGCGGUGUGAUGAAAGAUGGCCUCUAUUUAUAAGCUAUCGCUGAAGGAUGGGCCUGCGUCUGAUUAGCUAGUUGGUGGGGUAACGGCCUACCAAGGCGAUGAUCAGUAGCCGGUCUGAGAGGAUGAACGGCCACAUUGGGACUGAGACACGGCCCAAACUCCUACGGGAGGCAGCAGUGGGGAAUAUUCCGCAAUGGACGAAAGUCUGACGGAGCAACGCCGCGUGAGUGAUGAAGGUUUUCGGACUGUAAAGCUCUGUUGUUUAGGACGAAAGUGCCUGUUGCAAAUAGUUGCAGGUAUUGACGGUACUGAACGAGGAAGCCACGGCUAACUACGUG
rnacentral:rRNA from 1 species